UACAGAGGGUGCAAGCGUUAAUCGGAAUGACUGGGCGUAAAGGGCGUGUAGGUGGAAACAGAAGUCAAAGGUGAAAUCCCCGGGCUUAACCUGGGAACUGCCUCUGAAACUGAGUAUCUAGAGUAUAGGAGAGGGAAGUGGAAUUUCCGGUGUAGCGGUGAAAUGCGUAGAUAUCGGAAGGAACACCAGUGGCGAAGGCGACUUCCUGGCCUAAUACUGACACUGAGGCGCGAAAGCGUGGGUAGCGAACAGG
rnacentral:rRNA from 1 species